AGAGAUGUGUGAUGACGCAUAUCAAUAAGCGGAGGAAAAGAAACUAACAAGGAUUCCCUUAGUAACGGCGAGUGAAGCGGGAAGAGCUCAAAUUUGAAAUCUUCAAGGUUCUACCUUGACGAAUUGUAGUUUAUAGAAGUGUUUUCUGUUAGUAGGAGUGGCAAAAGUUCUUUGGAAUAGGACAUCAUAGAGGGUGAGAAUCCCGUAUUUGGUCAUUCCUUCUAGCGUUGUGAUACACUUUCAACGAGUCGGAUUGUUUGGGAAUGCAGUCCAAAAUGGGUGGUAAAUUUCAUCUAAAGCUAAAUAUUGGCGAGAGACCGAUAGCGAACAAGUACCGUGAGGGAAAGAUGAAAAGAACUCUGAAAAGAGAGUUAAACAUGUACGUGAAAUUGUCAAAAGGGAAGCGUUUGACACCAGUGUUGUUUUUCCGAAAAUCAAUUACGAAUGUUUUGUUUUUAAGAAGUUAUGACUUCAUCGGCUUGCUUCUCUCUUUACGAAACUUUCUUAAUGCACUUUUCGGUUAACAAGUCAACAUCAAUUUCUUUUGUUGUAAAAGGGUAUGAGGAAGGUGGCUUUCUUUUCGGAGAAAGUGUUUAUAGCCUUGUACCUCCGCAAUCGGAGAGAUUGAGGUCUGCAGCGUAGAUCCUUCGGGGUUAGAUACAUUUGUGCUAAGUUAUAGCUUUUCAUAGACAACUUGUUGACUAUGUUAAGUCUUGUAGCUUACUCGCUUAUGCUAUUUUACCUACGCUUAGGAUGUUGAAGAUGUAGCACAUCAU
rnacentral:rRNA from 1 species